rnacentral:rRNA from 1 species
UACGGAGGAUCCAAGCGUUAUCCGGAAUCAUUGGGUUUAAAGGGUCCGUAGGCGGUUUGGUAAGUCAGUGGUGAAAGCCCAUCGCUCAACGGUGGAACGGCCAUUGAUACUGCCGGACUUGAAUUAUUAGGAAGUAACUAGAAUAUGUAGUGUAGCGGUGAAAUGCUUAGAGAUUACAUGGAAUACCAAUUGCGAAGGCAGGUUACUACUAAUGGAUUGACGCUGAUGGACGAAAGCGUGGGUAGCGAACAGG